CCUACGGGAGGCUGCAGUGGGGAAUAUUGGACAAUGGGGGCAACCCUGAUCCAGCCAUGCCGCGUGUGUGAAGAAGGCCCUCGGGUUGUAAAGCACUUUCAGUGAGGAAGAACGCCUGGUGGUUAAUACCCAUCAGGAAAGACAUCACUCACAGAAGAAGCACCGGCUAACUCCGUGCCAGCAGCCGCGGUAAUACGGAGGGUGCGAGCGUUAAUCGGAAUUACUGGGCGUAAAGCGCGCGUAGGUGGCUUGAUAAGCCGGUUGUGAAAGCCCCGGGCUCAACCUGGGAACGGCAUCCGGAACUGUCAAGCUAGAGUGCAGGAGAGGAAGGUAGAAUUCCCGGUGUAGCGGUGAAAUGCGUAGAGAUCGGGAGGAAUACCAGUGGCGAAGGCGGCCUUCUGAACUGACACUGACACUGAGGUGCGAAAGCGUGGGUAGCAAACAGGAUUAGAUACCCUUGUAGUC
rnacentral:rRNA from 1 species